rnacentral:rRNA from 1 species
CCUACGGGAGGCAGCAGUAGGGAAUAUUGCUCAAUGGGGGAAACCCUGAAGCAGCAACGCCGCGUGGAGGAUGAAGGUUUUCGGAUUGUUAACUCCUUUUGUUAGAGAAGAUAAUGACGGUAUCUAACGAAUAAGCACCGGCUAACUCCGUGCCAGCAGCCGCGGUAAUACGGAGGGUGCAAGCGUUACUCGGAAUCACUGGGCGUAAAGAGCGAGUAGGCGGGAUAGCAAGUCAGAUGUGAAAUCCUAUGGCUUAACCAUAGAACUGCAUUUGAAACUGUUAGUCUAGAGUAUGGGAGAGGUAGGUGGAAUUCUUGGUGGAGGGGUAAAAUCCGUAGAGAUCAAGAGGAAUACUCAUUGCGAAGGCGACCUGCUAGAACAUAACUGACGCUGAUGCGCGAAAGCGUGGGGAGCAAACAGGAUUAGAUACCCCAGUAGUC